AGGAUGAACGCUGGCGGCGUGCUUAACACAUGCAAGUCGACCGAUGAAGGCUGGAGCUUGCUCUGGCUGGAUUAGUGGCGAACGGGUGAGUAACACGUGAGUAACCUGCCCCAGACUCUGGGAUAAGCGCUGGAAACGGCGUCUAAUACCGGAUACGAGCUUCCACCGCAGUGGUGAGGAGCUGGAAAGUAAUUUCGGUCUGGGAUGGACCUCGGCCGGCCUAUCAGCUUGUUGGUGAGGUAAUGGCUCACCAAGGCGACGACGGGUAGCCGGCCUGAGGAGGGUGACCGGCCACGACGUGGGACUGAGACCGACCGGCCCGAGACCGUCCGUACGGGACGGCGAGGCAGGUAGGGGAAUAGUUGGACAACGAAGUGGGGACCGACGAAACGCCUUAGGAA
rnacentral:rRNA from 1 species